rnacentral:tRNA from 1 species
AUCUACGAUUAUUAACUCCAAUAAUUUGAAUACACAUUAAUUUUUUAGCUCCACUGUUAUCUGCCACGUUUAAA